rnacentral:tmRNA from 1 species
GGGGUUGACCGGAAUAGACAGCACUGAUAUGGAUAUGUAAGCAUGUCGCGCAUUGUACUAUUGGCGCGUAAAAAUUAAGGUAUGAACAAUUUUAAAUGGCGAUAAUACUUACGCCCUUGCUGCCUAAUACAAAGUGUUAGUUAGCAUAUGUUCUUUAGCUGUUUUUUUCAGUGACGGCUUUCUGAACAUCAUAAUACUGAAAUAGUUACUGUAGGCUGUUUCGAUACAGUAGCGAAACAAAGAAACUAAGGUAAUGCGGUAAGGUUUGAAAAAACGCCUCCGUUUACCCGACAAUCAAGUUUUUUCUCAGCAUGAAGAAAGCAUAUUGAUACUUUGUCUGGACGAGGGUUCGAUUCCCUCCAGCUCCACCU